UUUAUACCACCUCUUCUUCUGAUCAUCAAAGAUAUAUUUGUUUUUAGAUACAUUGCUAUAUUUGAUGAGAGUAUGGCAAUAUUCUUAUUUUUCCUGUUCAUGGCAAUAGGAGUAUUUUGCUCUAGGGAAUAUUCUUGCAUAUUGGUUUAAAGUCCAUUUUGUGUGGACUCUACUAUUUACUCCUUUCACUGUUGAGAAACAACAGCCAGGGUUUUAGGGAGUUUGUUUCCUCUUGCACUUCAUGGUGGCCCUGGUGUGCGUCUCCUGCUAGCAUGGGCAGGCAGGAUGUGGGUCCCCUCUUAUACAUGGUUCAUCAUGGCUACAAGACAACCUAUGUGCAGGUCAAAGGUGAAGAGACAUAUGAAGUGUUUUACAGAAUACUUAACAUAGAUUCUUACUGAAAAAACUGCAAAAGGAUGGACUCCAGCGAGAGGAAAAGUGAAUCCAAGGAAUGGAGUAGGAUAUAAGCAAUAGCGCAAGAGGUAUGCAAAGCUGGUUUCCUGCAAAAAUGUAAUGGAUCUGAAUAUGAAGAGAAGAAGAUUUGCAGGUAAGAAUACAAAUGUUGAAAUUUGGUACCCCGUCUUACAUAUUAUGGCAGUGGCUUAGUAUCUGGGUGACUUAUGAUACACAUAGUGCUCUCAUUAUGUGAGCUUUUCUAAUAACUCAAAUAGACUUGCCUAGAUUCCCUGGUUCCUUGUGGCUUCCAUCGUGCUAUAUAAAUAAAGUUAGAGAUGUACAUUCCUAGUAAGAUCAUGCUAAGAGUGGAAGAAAAUUGGAAGAAAUCUUUUAAUGACAGUGUGGAUCUAUAUCUUCCUUUGUCUAUAGUCUUGUAAAGAGACAGGAAAUACCAAGUCUGGGAUGAGCAUUUUUAAUAAACCUUUAGUGAAAGGAAUAUUAUUUUAUAUUAUAAACAAGUCAUGUUGUUGUUUAACAAAUGUGUAUCCCCAAAGUCAGCGUGGUUCUCUGUUAUCCUGGAAGAUUUGGGUUUAGGAUUGGUGAACUGGACAGAGCUUCUUCAUUGUGAUGGGAAUCUUGUUGGGUUUCUAAGCCCACUCAUGUAGGGUCUUGGGAGAAUUGGGAGUGUCCCUUUUGUUGAGGAGCAGUGAGUGCUUGCCUAGUGUUGAGUUCAUUUUCAAAGGUUCUCUGAGACCGCAGGUUUAAAAAUGCAAGUCUAGUGUAUCUGCUUUGAUGUGUCAGAACAAAACUAGAGACAUUUCCAGUACUUGGAUGGAAAUGUCAGCUGAUAAUAGGAAAAGGUAGAGUGUACACCUCAGUGAGUUUGAUAAAAACAGCAUCCAGGAGACGGUUAGUAAUUGGAUCCUAUACAUGAUAUCAUGAAGUCUAUGUGCCCUGAAGGAAUGCAGGCAAGAGUUUGUGAAAUGCACAAGCAAGAUUCAGAGUGAGCCGCCGUGGUCUAUUUGGGGCCGCACUUAGAGCCACAUUGGUCUGAGUUUUCUGCUGCCCGUGUGUGAGCCAAGUACUAAUUGAAAGGAGUUACUACUACUUUCCAGCUGAGAGUAGUAGUAACUCCUGAGACCUUUCACUGGCCAACCAUAGUGUUGAGUAGAUUGUGACUCCCCAACCAGCAGGUUGACUCUGGUGUUUAAAGGACAUGUCUAGGCAACGUGGUGCCCAGGGUGCUGAUGUGGUUUGAUUGACAGGGUACAUUUACACCAAUAUUUUAAAAUAGACUGGCUUCCAGGGAUUUCCAAGUUCUCUGAAUAAUUGAAAGCUCCUGUAAUACCAGGUCCACAUUGCAUUCUACCAACUAUCAGGUGAAGCUGAGUAGCAUCGAGUCGAUGUAAAAGGGGUGCUAGUGUUUUCUGCUUGGCCACUGGCCUCUCGCCAGUGCUGAAUUGUGGUGCCAAUUGCCAUUGCAGCCGGCCUGCUUCCCCCAUUUUUAUUGCCUGCUUUCAUGUUAGUAUUAACAUUUGAUUUUGUAACCCUGAUAUAGACUAAUGGUAAGUUACUGGUUUUAAUGAAAGAUCCAAAGGCUUACAAAAUAGAGCUUGUUUUGAAUCCUACUAUGCUAUUUAUUAGACGUAUAAUUUUGAACAAGUUACUGAACUUCUGUGAGUAUCAGUUUACAUAUUUGGGAAAUGAGCAUAGUAAUAUUUACCCUGCAAAGUUGUUUUAAGGAUUCAAGAACGUAUAUGGUAUGAUGCCUGGCACAAAGCAGUACUAAGUAAGUGCUAGUUAUUAUAUUGUUGUUGUUGUUUUGGGUUCUUUCUAAACACUGUUUAACAGAAUAAAUGACUUCAUUAACUCUUUUCUUUGGUAACAUUCAGUAAAUUAUUGACUUAAAAAUAAAAACUAUGCACUAGAGGCAGUAACAUUUGCCUUCCACCUGCACUGUUAUAAUUUGUGUCUUCUAACAAUUACAUUGUGCCUAAUUGGUUGCUUUGUUCUUUUCCUCAGAAAGUAUAGAUUUGCUUAAUUCUUUUGACUCUGAGUUUCUUUUCUUAUAUAUUAAAUGGCAAAAUAGAAGAAUAGUGUAAUGUAGUUUAUUUUGUGUUUUAUAUAGUCUUUCUCUGUUUCUUAUGCUUUAAAACAUUUUCUGCUAGCAUUUAUUUCUUUAUGCCCUGUCUACUUAUGAGUCAUCAAACAAAUGCAACAAAAAUUAAUACAAUGAACCUAUAGUUAUGUGAAAGAAUGAGAUAGAUAUGAAGAGAUUCCUUCAGAUGAAAUAGCACUUUGAGAUGACAGAGAAUUUCUUUUUCCAUUUGCUCACAGCUGAGGCAAUGUGGGAACUCCACUGGGAGAGGGAGAACUCACGUUCCAGAGACUAGGAUAAGCAGUUCAGCAUUUGUAUAUUGUGCCUUCCCUGUUUCUUUCUCAACAGUAAAUGCGAUAUAAGAUGGAGCUCACAAUGGUGAGAGAAAAGGGCAAUGAGGCCCUUAGUUUCAUCCCAUUUGAGAAUUUCUUUUCUGUUUAGUGAACAGAGAAGAGCAGAACCAAACAAUCAAAAUCAGUGGUUUAUGGAAGUCAGUGUCCUAGGAAAUAUCACCCAAAUUUUUAUUCUCUAUUUUUAUUAUAGCUUGAUAGCCAGAACAAGCUUAUUCCGAACAAGUUUGGUGUUUUCUUGGCACUGUGUGAGUGUGUGUGUGUGUGAGAGAGAGAGGUGAUGAAAUGACACAUAUGGAUGAUGGGCACACAGGGAGAGGACAAAGGCUGAAGAAAGAAGUGGCAGUCAGGGCUGUCAAUUUUGCUGGAUGUUUCCCUGGCCCACCAUGCACUUCAACAAGCAGCUUUGCUGCUACCCCCAUCUCUUUUAUUAAAUUUAAGCAUGCUCUUUCCCCUGGGUUGGUAAAAACUGCUUUCAUCCUCAUAAGCUCUGCUUCUCUUUGUGGGGUAGACCUCUUCGAUAGCCUUUCUGUAUAUCUAAAGUCAUCAAGAAGAUCCUUUCAAUUUUUGCUCAUAGAGGAAAGUAAAGGUUUCUUUUCUUUUCUUUCUUUUUUCUUUCUUUGCCCUGAGUAAAACCCAAUGACUGCCUUCUAUUCCAUCUGGGAUGCUGGGGCAAUGGACCCAGAUAUUUUUCCUAGGGCUUUCAAUUCCUAACUAAGAAAGGUCUAGAAUUAAUCAUCUGAUGGGAGAGGAGGGCUGCUUUAUGGGAAUGUGUGUCAGAUGGGAAGAGCAGAGCACCUGGUGAGAUGGCAUUAGCAUUCUACCUGGGCAGAGCAGGAGGAGAGAAAAGAAGUGCAAGAGGUAAAAAGAAAGAUAUUUUAUCCAGACUUUCACAUAAAGCUUCCAGAAAGAAGCACUAACAACACAGUUUUUCCUUAUUUGUUGGGAAGCGUUUGGAAGUGAUACUUUAAAAGAAGGAGAAGAUUAAUCCUUAUUUUUAUAAUUGUUUCUUCUUGUUGUGGCUAUUCCAUUUCUACCCUAUUUGUGCCAUGGGCUUUUUACAGAUUAUGAAUCUUUUAUAACUAUUUUUAGAAGAAGUUUUAUGGUUGUAUUAGAUUUUUUGAAUGCUUAUUAAAUCUUUAUCAAGUCUUUACUAUGCAAUUAAUAUAUGAAUCUUGUUUGCAUUUUGCUUUAAGGAUGUUUAUUUCAUAAACCAAUACAUGCCAAGUGUAGUUUAUCAACAUGGUCAUUAGGAGAGGGCUGAAUUUGCUCACCAAGAGAAACUUGACAGCACACAUAUUUUUUAUAUAAUAGUUUAUAGACCUUUUAUUCUGAGAUUCACUGACAAAAAAGAUCUUUAUGUGAUAAAAAUAUUUCUGGAAAAGAAGUGAAACCUUUAACAUAUAUUGGCAAUGUUUUGUUGUAGACUGUUUAGAAGUUCUGUCUUCAUGAAAAACAAUCCAAAAAGAUAGUAAAUAUAAAAAUAUACUCAGUAUUUCUCUCAAUUUUUUUUUUUGUUAAAUUAGCAAAUGGAUUAUAAAAGACCUUUGGAUGUUUCUACAUGAAGAGGAAAAGACCUUCUAAAGUGCAAUGUCUGAAUCCUGUGUAUGCAUAGAUUAGAAACGUUUAUUUUACUGAUUUUAAGAUUAUAGGGAGCAGAUAUCUGCUUCUCUGAAAUGACAAAUAGUUUUCAUUUCUUUAAAACUGAUAUUCAGGCAGAUACAAGAAAAUACGCCCUAGUAUAGGUCAUCUAAUUUCUGUAGAAAGGUCUUCCCCAAAACUCUUUGGUAGAGCAGAAUGUUUGAGCUGAAGCAGUACCCACUAUCUGCAGAAUGAGGCUUAAAAAGAAGUUAUCACAGUAAAUAUUUCAGGGAAAAAAAAAAAACCAAGCAGUUCUAAUAAGUAUUAGAUCAAAAGAUCUAAUAGCUUAUAGUGUUUUUAUGUAUUUUAAUAGAUCAGUUGGAUUAAGCCUUUUUAAAAACACGUUCGUGCCUUAAAACAGUUUUACUCUGCCUUAUAAGUACAUUGCCUGUGCUUAUUCCUGUAUUCCUUAAUCUUCUAAAGCAGUAUCUUAAAAGAAAAAUUUAAAUUAAAUCUGUUCAUUUACUUGCAGAAAAAAAGAUUGCUAAUGUUUUCAACUAACUCUAGAAAACCCAUACACAAUUAUAUUGGACAAUUUGAUCUUACUAUCCAGUAACUAUCUAUAGGUUUGGGUUUACUUUAAAAAAAAAAAAAAAGAAUCUUAAGUAAUCUGAUAAAUUUAUAAAUUUGGAUUUCUGGCAAUCCAAUAAGAAUUCACUGGCAAGCCACUUUAGAAAAGUGAUUCAUUUCCCAAGCAAGGCUUACCAAAUGACAGAGCUCUGUAUGGUUGGGGAAAUUGCUUUGAGUUUGUCCCGUCUCAAAGGCUAGGUGGAGGGGUGGUGCAGAGUGGAAGGUGUUGAGAGGGAAGACUCAGAUGAAGAAGGCCACAGACGUAUGGUGUUUAAGGAUCUUCUUCCUCUACAGAAGGUUCUAGAAAGGAGGCAGAAAACUCAGACAGCCAGUGGGAAUGCUGCAGCCCUGGCGAUAUGGAAAGGUCCCGUGUGCCUCUCCCAGCAUGUGUCACCGACCUAUGCUAUUACAAGAAUCAUUUCCACGGGCAUCUGCUCUCCUCGGAAACCAAAGCCAAAUGGUCAAAAUUAGAAAAUAGCUUCAUCAAAUCCCAAAUGCUGCUUUCUUCCCCCCACACUUGCAUUUCCUAGACUUGCUGUGUCUCCUAUUAGCACAUCCAUUGUUUCCUUAAGUCCCCCAUGAAAGGUGAGAAUUUGAUAUUCAUAUGGACUUAUAAAAUGCAAAAGUACUUCAAUUCACCAACAGGAAGAUCAGGGUAAAUCCUCUCUCUUUUUCAAUUAAAGAUCUAAAUAGUGUUUUCUUCUCUCGUAAGAAUACUGGGUCAUAGUUUGAACCAGUGCUAGCCCUUUGGGCCUACUUCUGUCUAAUGAAUUCAAUGGUUAAUUCAAACAUAGAGGCUUUGAGUAUGGAUGGGAAGGAGAAAGACAAGAAGAUGGAGGGAGCAGAGAGUGCCUGGGUGAUGGAGUGAAUUUAAUGAGGAGAAUUUAACAUAGGUAAAUGUGAAGUCCUGCUCUUAGCUUUAAUAAAUUAAUGGUAUAAGUGGAGGAUAGUCUCUAUGUUGACUAAGAGUUCAAUAGGUUUUCAUAGGGUCUUUUGGAUUCCAGGAAAGUUAAUGUGGUGGUAAUGGCUGCAUAACAGAACAUUGCAGCAGAACAUUGCAGAAGAACAUUGUCCAGGCUAAGGGAGAAAAAAGUCUUAGAACCCCAGUUGAGGAAGACUUCCAGGGCCAGUUGGAGAUCACAUUGUCCUAAAAAUAAGAGCAGCAUAUUUGGCUUUGCAAUAAAAUGACUCCUCUGUAUGAAAGGCUCCUCCCAGGCUUCCCCAUCUUUGCUAAUGCUGGCUCUGCCUCCAAAAGGUAUUAGGAUUUAUUUACUUCUGUCUGCAUUACUACUACUCUUUACUUCCCUGUGAUUCAGUCUCUUCACAGCAGCCAAAGUGCCCCUUUAAACAUGUAAUUCAGGUCACACAGCUAUCCUGAUUGUAGCCCUCCAAUUGCGUUCCAUGUACUUAGAAUAAAAUCCAAGCUCCAUACCAUGCCUUCAGCAUUCUACAUGAUCCGGCUCCUGCCCACCCCUCUAUGCUCACCUUUACCUUCUGCCACACUCUUUUCUUGGCUCGUGAUUCGGUAUCCAACAUAGCCUUUCCUUUCUUGAACAUCCUGGUGUAUAUUCCUACCCUAGAGCCCUUGAAGUAGCUAUCCCUUGGGUCUGGAAUCCUCUUUCCCCAAUCUUCCUAAGACUGGAUUCUUUUUUUGAAAUCACUGAAAUGUCAGUUUAAAUGUUAUCUCCUCAAAGAGGCAUUCCCUGAACACCCAAUUUAGUACCUCUGUUGUAUUUAUCAACUCAACCUGUAUCACUUUCUUUAUAGGACUUAACUACACUUAAUUUCCUUGUUUAUGCAUUUUCUGCCUCUCCUUCACAUGUCAUGAAAACAGAGAUACUGUCUAGUUUGUUGACUCCUUCUACCAUGGAAUUUAAUAAAUAUGUGAAAAACUAGAAAAGCAAGGAGACUCUAGGACAAGUGGAUGAAGAAAGAUGGACGGAAACAUAGAAUGUGUGUAUUGACAGGUCCUGAGUUCACAGUCAGUAAAGGUGCAGUUAUUUAGGCAGAGGGUAGAUGGCUCCUUGAUGAAAAUGAUGUAGAUGUGUUCAUGUAAUUGAUCAAUUAAUAUUUAUUGAUCAUUUGGUGUGUCUCCUCCCAUCCAGGGAGGAGAAAGCUAUGUGAACAAAACCUUACAUGGGCAAUGCUAUGCUAUAUUAGAGCUAUACAUGAAUACAUACAAGGUGCAAUGGCAACUAAAACUUGACUGAAGGAGACAAGAUAUGAGGAAAUUCAAUGGACUCUUAAAAGAAAAAGAGGGAUUUUCCAGAUGGAUUAGGUACUAAGAAGGGCUUUCUAAGUAAGAUUGCAAUGUAACGAGAGCAUGGUAUAUUCUGGGAAGUGUACAGAGCUUGCUGUGGCCUUAGUGAGGGGUGUGGAGAGGUGGGGGAAAGGAGAAACACAUGAGAGAGACUGGGAGGUAGGCAGAAGCCAGAUCAACCAGGGCCUUGCAUGUGUUAUAAAGAAUUCGGAUUUCAUCUUGUGAUGAAAUGGCAGAGAGGAGCCAUUGUACAAAGAUCAGAUUUUCACUUUGGAAUGACGACUGCAACAGCAGGGGAGGGGUUGGAGUAGGGUAAGGUUGGAGGCAGUUUGGGGUUAUUUUAAUAGCCAGGUCACAGGUGACAGAGGCAUAAAUUAGAGCAUUCAGAGGCCAUGUAAUACAUAGAAAUUUAGUGAAAGCAGGGCUUAGCUUGGCUUCUAUCCAUGCAAUUUAAGAAUUGUUCAAAAUUUUAGAAGAAGAAAAAGAAAAUACUUAGAAAUCAUCCAAGUUUCCUCUUUUUUGCCUCCCAGCCCACGUCUAAUUCACUAGCAAGUCUUUUCAGUUCUACCUCAAGUGUUAUCCUAAAGGUGUCCCUGUACACCGUUUCCACUCCCGCCACCUGCUCCAAGAAACCCCCAUCUUUUGUCCAAACAAUGCAAUCGCUCCUGGCUGUCUCCUUCCUUUCGCUCUAGCCCGGCAGUCAUCCAUUCUCCGCACAGCAGCGGGAGUGAUCUUUCUGCAAAGUCAGUCGCCAUAUCACUUUCCUGCUUACAGCGUCACUUAGAAUGAAAUGCCUGUGCCAUCCCCUGGUCUAUAACAAGGCAGCCUUUGCCUACCUCUGUCACCUCAUCUUUAAAUUACUCUACAACUCAGCCUCAUUGUCUUUAUCUCAUUUCUUUUGUCUGGAAUGUUCUUCUCCAGAUCUUUUUAUAGUUUUACUCCUUCUCAUCAAUCAGGUCUAAAACUUAAAUAAUAGGGCUAAUCAGAAUCCACAAUUAUUUUUGUGUAUGCAGAAAUUUGUGUAAAUAUUGUCUUUCCCCACUAUAGUGCAUAAUCUCUUUGAGAGCAAAGAUCUGAAAUAUUUUUUCCUCUGCUGUAUCCCAGCACCUAACACAGUGCCUGGAACAUAGUGGAAUAUGAAUAACUAUUUUUAGAAUAAGUAAAUAGAUGGAAGGAAAGAAAUGAACUGUCCUUGUGCCUUUAGCCCCCUUUUUUCUGAGAGCAAUUUAGGGUUAUUUCUUUCUCUUCUUUGGUUUACUUUCAUCUUAUAGCCCAAAGUCUCCUCUUAUAGAUAAGUGUUCCACUAGAUGCAGGUGGUUUUUGUUUGCAAAUGGAAAAACGGGCAGUUCUCCCACCUUUCUGUAUUUAUAAUGUUUGCAUGGAGUGAGGCAAGGCAAAAAUCUGCUUUAAGCCUUACCAGGUAAGAUUGGGGAGCAGAAGGAAGGGGUAAAAGAGGGAAAUUGUUUUCCUUUAAGACCAUGUGGCAUAAGUCUACAGCCAUUAUAGUUUCCUUGACCAUUGAUUUCUCCAGUGUGGUUAUAUUGUCUGUAAUUUACCUUUGAACACUUCAGUGUAAACAUGAUAUAUAUAUACACACUGUGUAAACUAAUAAUACACUCUGAGGCAUUUUGUUAACAUUUGAAGUGCCCAUUCAAGAAUCCACUCUCCAGAGAUCUCUAGGAAAAUGAUUCUGAUAUCACUAAUUAGCAGCAAAGAAGUCCUUUUUCACUGUUGAAAUGAGUAGUACACAAGACAUUCGGUUGGCCAGAAAGUUUGCCCAGGCAUCUCUGCCCUUUCAUGUUGAGAGCAGGGACCUUGAAUUUCUGUCCUUCCUUGAACCAUGCACAUAGCAAGCCCACAGACCAACAGGUGUAGACCUCAGUUUCGUCCUAUUCCUACUGCCUGCUCAUCCCUUAAUUCAGGCACUGGGUACAUGAUUCAGUGAGAUACAAGGCUGAUUUUGCCAUCAGGAUAUUGUCUGCUGGCCUCAGAGUGAAUCUUUCAUGCAAAGAACUAACUGGAGUUUCCCAAAAGGCAGAGGGCCAGGGUAUCACUACACUUAAAGGAACGGGAUGUAUGAUAUUUUUGCUCCUACAACCUAAGAAAUUUUUGCAUAAUACUUGUGGUGGCAUUUUCUCUGAGAAUUAUUUUCACUGCAAUAUACUAUUAAUCAUGAGGUUGUAGGGUGAUCAGGCUGGUAACUCCACAGCCACUAUCAGAUGCUGUCUACAUUUACUAAAGAGUUGGAUUGUUGUAAAUGGCUAGUUGAGUUGGGUGAUUUUACAGGCCAUGCUCAGCAACCGUGUUACCCAGCGACUGGCAGCCCAAGGCCGUCAGCUUUCAGGCAGGCCUGACGGGGCAGGGCAGUUACCUUUCAAGAGAGCACCUAGGGAGAGCUGGGCCAAGGGUCCUGAUUUGGUCUCCUUGGUUGAUCACCAAUAAACUGAACAAUCUGAAAACCUUGCUUUGGAAAAUCAGGGAGGCUAGUUGAAAAUGAGUGAAAUGCUGUCUGUGUACCACUUUGUUAUACUUUUAAAUUCUCCUGGUGAUGCGGCUUCAUUGAAAUAAAUCUCAGUGUGGGACUGUAGCAGUAUAUACUCCAAACCUAAGGAGAGACCUGUCUCAAUUUAUAAUUUCCUAGCAUCAACACCUUGUUUAUGCUGAUCUGUAUUUUCCAAUUUGGCUUCAUUCCUAUACUUAUCCAGUUUUUCUGAACCAUCCUUUUCAGAUUGCAGCAUUUUAAACAGUUAUCUUUUCAAGAAAGCAGCCUCCUUCCAUUAAUAACUUGUUUUCUUCAUUGCUAAUCCUGAAAAAGUAUAAGUUUUCGGUAGCCUCAGACUCUGAAAAGGGAGAAUUAUAUCUAAAGUCUAGCAAUUUAGCAAGUUAAUGUUAUGGUUCAUUAAAGGAACUUGCAGUUAUUAAUAAAAUACAGAAAUAUUAUAUGACUUCCAAAGUUUUAUAUAAGCCUUACCAAUAUAUUUCAAGAAUGUCUAUUAAGCAGCGUGGACAUGAACAUGGUUCCUGGGCCAGAUUGCCUGCGAGUGAAUCCCUGCUGUGGCUUCGGCUAGGCGAAUGAUCGCAGGAAAUUUACUCAACUGUGCUGCAGUUUCCCUACCUUUAAAGUUGCAAUAAUAGUAGUAACUACUACAUGGGGUGAUUUAAAAUUAAAUUCUGUAGGGCCUUAGACUUAGGAUACUAGCUGAAACUUGUGUUUUUAAAAUUUAGCUAUUACCAACGUUUUCAAGGUCAUUCUUAAUUAUAACUUAGGAAACUUGCAGUGAGAAAAACUUGCCUGGAUUCUCCUUGUACCUGAACUACUGACUAGCUCUGUGACCUGCAAAUAUAAAAAAAAAAAAGAUUUGCCCUUUCUGAGCUUCAGUUCUCUUAUUUAUAAAAAUAGGGAUUGGCCUAGAUAAUUUCCAAGUUCCCCUAUAAUACUAAAAUGUGAUGAUCCUGUGAUAGCAUUACCUAAUGUGGAAUUUAAGGAAAAUACUUUAAAAGAGAGUAUGAAAAAAACAUAAUGAAAAUAAAUGGAAAUGAGAGAUUGCGUUUAAAUUUCUUUUGACUUGGAGUUAGGACAGCUGGGUCCAGGCCCGGCCACUUUGUUGUCCUUCCUAACUUGGCCCGCCCUUCACUUUUUCUUUUUCUUUUUCUUUUUGGUCCAGUCUCGCUCUUGGCAAGCACGUUGGUAGGCAGAUGAAAAAGGAAAUAAAGUUUUGAUUGGAGAUAAACACUCUACAGAUGGGGGUUGGACGUGUGCACAGGGUGGGGUGUGUGGUUACCUCUUGUCUCAAGAAACCUUAGAGUAAUUUGACAUCUAGAGAAAUUGCAUGAAGCCAAACUAGUGGUCUCAUGUAAAAGGAGACCAACUCCUGUAAUUCAUGGGACUUGGACUAGGAAAGUUAUUUACAUUCUUUUUUAUUUAAAAAUAUGUAACACAUGUUAGACAAUCACCCAGAUUUACUCAGUAUUUAACAAAGAGCUCUCUCUCCUCUCCCCCUAUGGAUGGUAUUGCCCCCUUCAACCUGAGCUCUCCUCUCGACCCUUUCCAACCUGGCUCUUCCUCAGUGGCCAGCAUGAUCUAAAACUCAGCCUCUCCCAACAAGAUAGCCUAUUUCUGGUUCUUAAAAAAUUUUAUUUAUAAAAUACAGAAUAUUCAGAAUACAGAAGAUUCAGUCUUUAAGCUUUAUCUCAUAUGAGAAAUCCUCCCUUUUCUGAACAGGGAUUCCAUUUGCUAAAAUAUUAAAGUGAUCAAAUAAUAAAACGGCCAACUUGACCAUCACCUUACAGCCUGUACGUUUACUCUGCCUCUCGCAGGGGCUGUUGGGAACUCCUGGGAGUUUCUCAGCAAAGGGGCCGUUGUCCAAACAGUGUACGACGUGCAUAGCUCCAGGUGGAAGGCUCAUUUGGAUCCCCUCAUCCUGAGCUGACCCAGUGCAGGUGAGGCCCUCGGAGCUCCCACUUUCUGGAGCACGUGGUGAGAACAUGUCUACCACCCAGCUGUAUAGAGCAGUUUAAUGAGGAAGUGCGUGUGCACCUGAUUUGCGGACUCCAGAACAUCCCUCCAAUUAGGUGAUUAUUUUAAGCUCCCAGCUGAAGAUGCCUUAAUGAUCAAUUCUGUCUUUGUAGUUGGAAACAGUUCAUCUUCUCCCCAACAGCUUCCAGUUUUCCCAUUCUUUUCAUCAUUUCUGUGACUGUAUGUAUUUUCUUCAUAAUUGAGACAUGAUUAUUAAAAAUACUCAUCCUGUGACCUUCUCUAUAUGUGAGUUACAAUCUGUGCUUUUUAUUAUUAUCCUUUCAUGUUCCAUACUUCCAGUACUCCCUAGCUUUGCUUUUCAUAGCACUUGGUUCAUAUAAGUGGAAAACAUCAGGGACACUACAGAAAUCAACUCAUUGCUUUAUAUAAAGCAAAAUUUCGUGAAAUAUAAAUUAAAAAGACAUGGUGCUUUUGUUAUAAAUCUACAAACUGUUGAAUAACAGCAACAUGAAAGAGAGCAGGGAGGCAAGUCUUCCCCAUUGACGGCACAAUGAAAGCUCUUCUCAGGGGGAUCAGUGCAUCUCUGUCCAUCAUGGCUGCAGUCUUACUGCUAAAGCUGGAAAGAAUACUGUAGGUAAUUAUUUGAGAAUACUAAAGAUUGUAAGAGCUGGAGACUGCAAAGAGUUGGCAUCCUAAGCAGAUGGCCAAGAGCCCUGUAGGCCUGGAAUUGGGUGCCCAGCUAACUUGUUGCUGGUAGCCUCACCAUGCAUGAAUCCUCCCACACUAAUGGCCUUCUGGGCCAGCACCUCCCCAGGAGACCCCUUUUGCUUUUUUGCUAUGUAGGUGACAUGACCUGCCUUCCAGUCCCAGAAGUGUGCUGUCCUCCUGAUGAUAAAAAUGUUCAAUGUCCCCAGGGACAUAAUAAUAUGAAGUGAAUUUCCUAUUGCUUAAAAACCUAACUCAACAUAUGAGUUCUUUAAUGAGAAUAUAUCUUUUCAUUGUGUCCAUCAUUUGGAUUUUUGUUUCAUUGUUUGAAAAACAAGAGAAGAUUAGGUGACUUUGAAGUAGAGAUUGUAGAAGGCUUGAUAGGGACCAAGGCAUCGUCUCCUUUAACUCUCACAACGUCCUUGUGAGGGAGGUACUAUAUUUACAAUGAGCAAAUAGAGACUCAGCGUGACUUUCUUGUAUGCCUAAACUAGCCAUUCAUAAAGCUAGUGGUAAAAUAUAUUCAGAAAACUGAUCUCUUCUUCAUUACCUUAAAAUUGUGAUAUUGUGGAAGAUUCUAUUUUACAAUUAUCCAAUUUCAUAUGUGUUGUGUUAGUCAGGGUUCGGCUGAGACAGAGAACCCAAUAGGAGGAGGUGUGUGCAUGUUUGUGUGUGUGUCUGUGUGUGUGUGUGUAAAGAGAUUUAUUAUAAGAAAUUGACUCACGUUGUCACACAAGCUGAGAAGUCCCAAGGUCUGCAGUCAGGAAGUGGGAGACCCAGGAUUGCUGGUGAGGUUGGUUCCAGGCUGGCAGGCUCUAGACCCAAGGAGAGCUGAUGUUUUAGUCUGAAUCUAAAAGCCAGGAGAGGCCAAUGUCCCAGCUCACCAGUCAGGCAGGAGUUCCCUCUGACUCAGCCUUUUAUCCUCCAGGUCUUCAACUGCCUGAUGAAGCCACCCACAUUAGGGAGGACAGUUUAUAGUUCCUAAUGCUAACCUUACCCCAAACCACCCUCACGGACAUACCCAGAAUGACAUUUGGCCAACUAUCUGGGCAUAUCAUGGCCCAGACAAAUUGACACAUAAAAUUUCACACACGUGGUAUAUGGUUCUUAGGCAUCAGCACUGGUGUCCGUUGGCUACUCACUCUGUGCUUAUCUCCCUGCCAGGCACUGGAAAAGAUUUAAACAAAGCAAAUCGUAUCACAUCUGUGAGGUUAGAGAAGACAGCAUUGACCUCACCGUCACGAGGAAAUAUUCUUUGGGGCCUCUAGAGUAGCAAAGAGAGGGUUGAGCCACAAAUGCAGACCAUUCACAUGUGUGAUUUUAGAUUUUCUAGUAGCCACAUUUAAAAAGUUAGAUUUUUAAUAGCAUAUUUUAUUUAAUCCAGUAUUCCAAAAUAUCACUACAACAUGUAAUCAACAUAAAAAUUAUUAAUGAAAUUUUUACACUCUGUUUUGUUUUGUACUAAGUCUUUAGUCUGUGUGUAUUUUUGCAGCUACAGCACAUCCCAGUUCAGGCCAGCCACGCUUCAAGUGCUCAGGGGCCACCUCUGACUGGUGGCUGCUGUGUCGGGCUGUGCAGCCACCAGCAUCUGUUGCGGAAUGGGCUGUCUUAUGUACCUUAUCUCAUUCUGUUUGUGGGUCUUAGACACAAAUAACAGGGCUUAGGGGAAAGAGCAACUGUUUGGAGCAUUUGAUGUAACAUGGGAGAGUCUAAGUGACAUUUAUCAGAACAAACUGCCUGGGCAGAACAGACCUAAAUGAUGGGCAAUUACUCUCCAUGUUUUCUCUCUGGACCAGAUUAAGCUCAUUCUUGGGCCCUGCUCCUGGUUGUCACUUCUUACCCCGAGUUAUUCAUGUACUUUCCCUCCAGGGCCACAGUACUGCUCCAUGCUACGUGAGGAACUCUUGGGGCCAGGAGUGUAUAGGUUGAUGUACAAGAGAGUGAGUCAAAGCACACUUCACACAAGUUUUUUUCUGUUGCAAACCAAUCAAGGGUAGCAUACUCUAGCUUCACAACAUUUUGCUAGUGUUCCCAUUAAAUGUACGUAACGUUAUGUAUUCUACAUACUCACAGUUCCUACCAGCAGCCCCUUCUCAGGAAAAUUCUACAGUUUUCCCUGAGAUCUCUUCUGCUUCCCCACCCUGUAUUCUUAAGGUGAUAUAAGAAUUCCUUUUCCCAUCACUCUCUCCUUGUCCUGUUUGGGUUACUGAUAUUAAAAUGCUUCGUGAACACUCUUUCCUCUUCCUUUCUAAUUGAAGCUCUCCUAGGCAGGCUUUCCCAGGAGAAGAUCUCUGACUCAGUUUGCUACCCACUCCCAUCCUUCACAACCUGAGAGUCUCCCGCUCACAGAACUGCCCCAGGUGAGGGUGUUUUUUUAAGUAUCAGUUUGAGGGUG